rnacentral:rRNA from 1 species
UGGGCGCAAGCCUGAUGCAGCGACGCCGCGUGAGGGAUGACGGCCUUCGGGUUGUAAACCUCUUUCAGCAGGGAAGAAGCGGAAGUGACGGUACCUGCAGAAGAAGCGCCGGCUAACUACGUGCCAGCAGCCGCGGUAAUACGUAGGGCGCAAGCGUUGUCCGGAAUUAUUGGGCGUAAAGAGCUCGUAGGCGGCUUGUCGCGUCUGCUGUGAAAGCCCGGGGCUUAACUCCGGGUGUGCAGUGGGUACGGGCAGGCUAGAGUGCAGUAGGGGUAACUGGAAUUCCUGGUGUAGCGGUGAAAUGCGCAGAUAUCAGGAGGAACACCGAUGGCGAAGGCAGGUUACUGGGCUGUUACUGACGCUGAGGAGCGAAAGCAUGGGGAGCGAACAGGAUUAGAUACCCUGGUAGUCCAUGCCGUAAACGUUGGGCACUAGGUGUGGGGGACAUUCCACGUUUUCCGCGCCGUACCUAACGCAUUAAGUGCCCCGCCUGGGGAGUACGGCCGCAAGGCUAAAACUCAAAGGAAUUUGACGGGGGCCCGCACAAGCGGCGGACCAUGCGGAUUAUUCGAUGCAACGCGAAAAACCUUACCAAGGCUGGACAUACACUGAAUCGUUCCAGAAAUGGUCCUUCCUUUUGGGGCUGGUGUACAGGUGGUGCAUGAUUGUCGUCAGCUCGUGUCGGAAAUGUUGGGUUAAGUCCCGCAACGAGCGCAACCCUCGUUUUGUGUUGCCAGCACGUGAUGGUGGAGACUUCAUUAGAAAACUGCCGGGGUCAACUCGGAGGAAGGUGGGAAUGACGUCAAAUCAUCAUGCCCCUUAUGUCUUGGGCUUCACGCAUGCUACAAUGUCCGGUACAAUGGGUUGCAAUACUGUAAGGUGGAGCUAAUCCCAAA